AACAAGAUUUGUAUGGAUGAUCAAUCGAGAAGGGAAUACUCUAAGCCGACGAGGCGCUCGAGUUGAAGCUCAUCAGAUACCAAAGAAGCGGGUUAGCUCUGCACCAUGAGCUGCAUGGGGAUCUGAAGUUUCAACAGGUUAAGUGACAAGCCCAGAGACUGAUGAUAAUGUUUAUAUUAAAAGGUCCAUGGUUCUUUGUUUGCAGUGGCCCUUGGAGUUUGUAUAUAUGUACAUAUAUCAGCUGACCUGAGGUAAUUUUUAUUUACAUUAUAUACCAACCAAGGGUACAAUGUAGUUAAUCUGUCAUUCCCUCUCCUCGCUAAUUACAGCAUUAUUAAUUGAAAGGAAGAACUUCACUUCAGUUUGAACUUAAUGAUAAUAAAAAAUUUACCUCACAAUCGAGUUGACGUACAUUCUAAUAUGCCAUUGGUAAAGAGUAAUAAUGAGCCUUCAUACUUGAGUUCAAUUUACCAUGUUUUCCAUGAACCUAGAAAUAGCCUGUUGUCAAUGACUAAUACACAUGUUCACCUUUAAAUUGUCUUUCUCAAUUGAGGCAACUGUAUACUCUCAGAGAUCUCUUACUUGCUCUACUUCGUUGUUAGCUGAGUGUUCACAAAUGCCCCCAUUAUACAUGUAUAGAAUGGGGUAGAAAGGUAAGCCACUCUUCAGUUCCCCAAAUUAGCUUGGAAAGGUAUAGCAAGCCCUUUAUUUCACAUGCAAACUGUUCACAGGUAGAAGCUCCCAGUCAAUGGAUAAGAUAUCCAGCAUACAAAGAUAAUAGAAGAGGUUAUAGGGCAAUUCAUGUUUUCCGGCUACCAAUGUAAUACAAUUAUGGGCCAUGGUACAACUUUGGUUGUCGUUACAGCAAGAGGUCUAACAGACUAUGUACCAUCUGCUAUUAGCGGCACAAUUGGAAAAAAUGAGUUGUUGUCGCCGAGGUACACCAGUAGCCGUUGAUCUUGACAACAUACCAUUCCCCAUCCCGAGUUCUCAAAUGAUCACCACUAUUGAUUCAGUGACAGCACCCAACAGUGCUUUCAGACUGCCAGCAACUAUUCAGAAAUCUGAACAGCUUGGUUUGCCUGAAGACGCGGCCACCCCAUCAGUAGGCAACGAAAAUUCAGAGUGCACCUGCUGAGAAAAGGAAGUAAACAAGGAACUGUUUCCCACCUAACAAAAGGAGCUUAACUUACCAAGACCAAGAAUGCCAUUUAUGCACUACAACCACGGCAAUUCAGAAACUGGAGACAGGGAGUUCAAUUGAUGAAUCAGAAAUUUGUCGCCAAGUUGUCAAACU